rnacentral:rRNA from 1 species
UACGUAGGGUCCAAGCGUUAAUCGGAAUUAUUGGGCGUAAAGAAUUUGUAGGCUGUCGUGUAAGUUGAAUGUGAAAUCCCUGGGCUUAACCUAGGAACAGCGUUCAAGACUACAUGGCUAGAGUAUAUCAGAGGAGUGUGGAAUUCCUAGUGUAGCAGUGAAAUGCGUAGAUAUUAGGAGGAACACCAGUGGCGAAGGCGGCACUCUGGGAUAAUACUGACGCUGAGAAAUGAAAGCGUGGGGAGCAAACGGG